CAAAUGGUAAUAAGUACAAUGGGAGCAUCUACAUGGUUUUUGAGUUCAUGGACCAUGGCUUGACUGGCGUUGGCAAUUGUCCUGGACUAAUAUUUAUUGUACAACAGAUUGAGCAUCUUUGGAGAAGAGGAAGCAAAAUUUUGUAGAGCUCAAAACUAGAAAUGGUUAGUUUCAUGGCUUGGGUGCUUGCAAUGAUUAGCAGGGGACUACAUGAUGCUGCUUAUGAUGUAGGUGGUUUCUAUGAGUGAAAACUUCGCUGCUUCUAUCGUUGUUUCGCAUCUUUUCACAUCAGCGAAAGAGAAGGAUGAUCACUCCACUAAGUUGAAGAAGGGAAAGAAAGCUAAGUUAGGCUCUGAAAGUUAGUGGAGAUUCACUAAAUUAAUUCCUAGAUCCGCUGGCCAGGUUAAUAAUGUUGUUUGGAGGAGAUCUAUCAAGGUGACGACUGACUUAUUGUUUAUCCAUCCCUUUCCCUCAUUUUAUUAAUGGUGCUAUUCAAAUCUGUAGGUACGUCCAACUAUAAGGUCAAAUUUAGUUUUCCAUCAAAUUAUGAUGGGAAGUUUGAUGCUGCAAAUGCUAAAGGAGACUGGAUGUUGUUUGGGCAGAAAGUGAUGUUGUGGAUGGCCAACUGUGGUCGUUGUGUCCUCAGCUCUUCAUUUUCCAGCUAAGUAGCAUUUGCCAAGUUCAGCAUAUGUAGACAAAAAAAUGUGCUUUUUUCUUUUCCUCUUUUUUUUUUUUUCCUUCUUUCACCAUUUGACAACCAUGUCCAUGUGAGUGGAAUGGUCACCUCAAACAUGCACGAGUCUGUCACUAAAUUCAUGUGUUGUUGGUUUUAUUUGAAUGAAUUAAAUGGGGAGGACGAUGAACAUAAAUUGAGCUUAGAAAUCAAAUUCAUA